UACGUAGGGUGCAAGCGUUAAUCGGAAUUACUGGGCGUAAAGCGUGCGCAGGCGGUUGUGCAAGACCGAUGUGAAAUCCCCGGGCUUAACCUGGGAAUGGCAUUGGUGACUGCACGGCUAGAGUGUGUCAGAGGGGGGUAGAAUUCCACGUGUAGCAGUGAAAUGCGUAGAGAUGUGGAGGAAUACCGAUGACGAAGGCAGCCCCCUGGGAUAACACUGACGCUCAUGCACGAAAGCGUGGGGAGCAAACAGG
rnacentral:rRNA from 1 species